GGCUGGGUAGCUCAGUUGGUAGAGCACCGGAAUUGCAAUCCAGAGGUCACAGGUUCGAACCUUGCUCCAGUCA
rnacentral:tRNA from 1 species